UCAGGUCAGCAUCAUGUGGCUCAUCUCAUGUUCAGGCAGAAGUCUGACCACAGCUGCUCUGCUUAGCUGCCCAUGGUACGUACACACAAGGUAUGAACAAGCACACACAGGAUUAGACCUUCUCACACCCGACUGGCUCCAUCUUUAAUUCCUCAGUCUGAACUUUCUAGUUGGUGUUUGGAUGUAACAGCUGGGAAUAUCAAGAAAACAGAACUUUUUAUUUAUUUAUUUAUUCGAAACGAUCUUUGCGCAACUUAUGUCUGUUUUCUUAAAGUUUUUUUACUUUUAGUUUAGUUCACGUCAGGACAAAUGAUUUAGCUAAAAUAUCCGUGGCGAAAAACAAAAAUAACAAAGGAUUAUUCAAUUUAAGUCAUUAAAAUGAUGUUGCUCAAAUAAAAUGCAUCACAAAAUGUUAAAAGUAAAGUGAAAAUCUUUUAAAAAAAAAAGAAAAAAAAAAGUC